AAUGUGGUCGUAUAUAUUUGAUUGGAAAGAUGAAAAUGACUGUUAAAUUAUAUUUCAUUGCUUAUUAAAUUGGCAUCUGCUUAAUGCGUAGUUAAGAGCUUUUGUUGAAGAUUGAUGUCUUCUGGGUUGUUGGGCCGUGUAGUUUGGUAGAAGUUUUCCGACGUUCCAGAGAUCUUUGCUGCAUCCACGGCAAUCACGGUUGCUCAUGAUUUCAAGGGGUAAAGAGAAGGUUGGGCAUUUCAUUACGAACGAGAUUGGGUGCAACCCAAAUACUGUGGGCAGAAAAGAAGAUGCAAUUACAGUGGAACGUGUUGGCGAACAAACGGACAGCACAGACAUCAUGCUAAACUGACUGGUGAGAUAGACGGGUGUACGAAAUAUGCAGUAUCUGUUGAGAAAGCAGGAAACUGAGCUAAAGAAAAUGGUGAAACAAAAGACCAAGACACUGUCAAAAGAGAAAAACAUUUUAGUGGACGCGGUUGAUUACUCCACACCAAGUUCAUCUGAAAGACUCUCUUCUCAUCAUGAACACAAGUCUGCAAAAGCUUUGAUGCAGUCUGGUAACAGUGUACCCCAGACAACAAAGUCCAUAGACAUCUCUGGCCAUCCUCUCACAACAUUUCAGUCUGUUCAACAUCUUGCCCAAGCCCAAAUGACAAUACUGUCACAGAAUACUCGAAAGUGGCAACAGUUGGGAUGAAUUCUGGGACCUUCUUAAUACUGUGCUAGUGGUCAAAUGGUCAACCAUACUACCCAAGUUGAGGUCUUCUCUUCCGUCACCACUAAUAUCAAAAUAAAAUAGGUCCACAAUUUAUGAGGCUCCGUUUUUGCUUGGAUUGCGUGGUCGGCCGGUGCUCUGUUGAUAUGGGCGGGAGUUGUGCGCGUUCUUGUGGGUGACCGCGAACAGUUUCAGUGCCGCUAGUAACAGCGAACUACGAAUAUUUCUCACAUUAUAAUCCUAAAUCCAAGGCCUGAGGAUUUGGAAGUGAAUUGCACGAGGCUGGAGGCUCGCCAGGCCCGGUUAAAAGCUGAAAACAAAGCUGGAAAAGCACAAUACAAAGGGCAAGAGCGAGACUUUACUGGUACAAACUAUAGAAGAGCACAUGCUAAUGAAUGGCAUUUGGCAAGACAGCUUUAGAUUUUCUCCUUGCCACUACAUCUGGACUGGCUACCCCAGUCUUCUAUGUAGUGGGAACUG